rnacentral:lncRNA from 1 species
UCUAUGGGCAUACUUAUUUUUGCUCUGAAAAUGUUCAUUAUCCCCUUCAAAAUAUUGAAGAUCAAUAGUUGGUCAAAUGUGUGAAUUUAAAUUAAUCAUGCUCUCAUGGCUGGUUAAAUUGUGAGAUGAGUGGUAGACUUUUGUCUAGAAGUUAUGUUUAUAUACAACACACGGUAAGAUAUAUUUCUCAUUAUGAUACAUUCAAAUCUAGAUUUCCAAGAAUGACUAAAACAUUGGUCAAUCUAAGUUGCGAUGAGUUUGUUAAAUAACAGAAGGACUAAUUUUUAAUUUUUCUUUUUUUUCAAUUGGCUCUAUGACAUUCACCACUUAUGUGAUAGGACUCUAGCAGGGUUGGGUCCUACUCAACCAAGAAGCAGUUAAUAAAACCCUAUGAGAUUGUAAUAAACCCCAUCUAGCCGCCUCUAUCCUAUAAAGAAGAGUAGCUAGGGUUUAUAUUUGGGUCUUUGGGCUUCCUAGCUGCCGCCCCCUUUUACUGGGCUGGUUGGUUAGGGUUGAGGGCAAAAGGGUAACUCACUUAGGAAGCAACCCCUAGGGCUAGGGUUUGGAGCCCUAUAUAAACAUGUAGCUUCCAUCUCUUUGGAAAUAAGAUCUAUCUACAAUUGCAGCUAUUGACCGACUUUUAGGAGGGUGGAACCCCUAAAGCGUUCCAAGGAGUGAUCUCCCUCAAAGAUCAAUCUACAUAGAAUUCCUCUGGGGUUCUAUCAUCUGGUAUCAAAGCAGCGAUCUUGCUGCUUUUGCUGCCAUCCCUACCGCCCACGACUAGCCAAGCAAUUCCCACAAUUUCUCUUGACGUCGCCAUCUCUACCGUCAUCUUCUGUCGUAGAUCAAAUCAAUCUACUGUCGUCACCUCCAAUUGCAUCAGAGAUAUGGUAUUCUCCUAUCAGUAAUACCUUUUGCUGCUGCAAUUUUCCAUUCAAAAUACCAAGAAGAAGUCUUCUUAUCUAUCCCAUGCUGCGAAUUCCUUUCGUCGCAAAAUUUAUCAUCUUUGCGAACGAAAGAUUGCUGCAGAAAAUUUCAGCCGCAUAUUGUUGCUUUUAACCGAUCUAUUUGCUUUCCUUUUUGAACGAAAUUUCUUAUACGCUUCAUAGAUCAUCUUGGCUUCAAUCUAAGAUUGAUCUAUUGAGGAAUUCAUCUCUAAAAACGUUCUUGUAUUGUUGCAAAUUUUCGUUGCAAACCGCUGGAAUUUUUCGACGAGAAUUCUGCUAUCGCAACUUGCACCAAUCUCCUUGCUGUUAUACUAUCGAAUUUUUUUUUAUUAAAUUUGUUAUCAUUGUUGUUAUCUAAACUAACAUUUUGUUGUCAAAUUCCCUCCUCAAAUCUCUUGGUUUUUGCUAGAAAUUUCGUCGAGAAACCGAUGUUUCUUUGACGAUAAUUCUGCUCAUACAAGACAACACCUAUCUGCAGCAACUUUCACUGAUUUCUAUCAAACCUUUGCUGCCAUCUACCACAGAUCUAAAACUUUUUUCCUAACCUUCAUCCACUACCAUCACAACCCUAAAACUCCACCAAACCACACCCUCAAACUGCACCCAAAACAGCCAAAAAACAAGCCUAAAACCGCAGCCUACAUCCACCAAUCCACCAACCCUUUCGACCACCACUUCUCUCAACCGAUACAUGCCUUUAACCCGACAACAAAAGAGAGAUCUUAAUAUUACAGAUUUGGAGGCAUAUACUAUGGCAUCUGAGGAGGCAAUCAAUGCAAAAUUCGAAGCCUUCGAGAUGCGAAUGGAGGAUAAGAUUCGAACUCUCUUUAUCGAACUUAGUUUGGGCCGAUCACCAAGCCCGAAGAAAUCACAUCAAGAGGAGAGCUCUGACCAAUCACACCAAGCCUGAAGAGAUGACUUCCAAGAGAGGGGAGGCUCUAUGAUCGAUCCCCACUAUCCACGCAUGAGGGUGGACUUCCCUAGAUAGGAAGAAGGAGACCUGAUUGGUUGGAUCUCGCGCGCGGAGCGAUAUUUUUGGUACCACAAAACCGCGAACACAUCUAUGGUGGAAAUUACAGCUAUACAUCUUGAAGGGGAUGACAUACAUUGGUUUGACUGGUUCGAACGCACUGAUGGAGUCCUCUCAUGGCGACAAUUCAAAGAAGGACUGCUGAUCCGCUUCGGACCAACUGAUUACGAGAACAUUGAAGGACAACUAGCAAAGAUCCGACAAACCUCUACCAUUCAGGAGUACCAAACCAGGUUUGAAAGGUUAUCUAAUCAAACUCGUGAUUGGUCUGAAAAACAGCUAUUGGGGACCUUCAUUGAGGGCUUGAAGCCGGAGAUCCGGGGAGAAGUUAAAGAGCGUCAACCGUACACGCUUUUGGCAACCAUCUCUUUCGUACGACUUCAAGAGGAGCGAUUGAAUCAUGAAGCCCGGAGGACUAGGGUCGCUCCCCGACUAGCAAUACUGAAGCCCUCAGCCCCCCCACUGUUAACCGAGCCCUUGCACCAAAAAGGUUGACAAGAGAAGAGCUUCGGGAGCGAUCUGCGAAGGGGUUAUGUUGGCAUUGCGACGAGCCAAGGAGCCGUGAGCAUCGCUGUAAAAAAGGAAGACUUGUGAUUGAACCAGUAGAAGAGGUCAUUGAACAUCUAGAAGAGAGCCUUGAACAUCUAGAAGAGAGCGGAAGAAGAGUCACAACCGACCGACUUUAUAGUACACGCGCUAGCCGGCUACUCAAACCCGCAAACGAUGAAAGUUGGAGGCCUUCUCAAACAACAACCAAUCAUUGUUCUCAUCGACACGGGCAGCACUAAUAACUUCCUAAACAGUAAGGUUGCUGCUCGGAUGGCGCUCCAUAUCGAAGGUUGCAGCAAGUUUGAUGUAAAGGUCGUCGACGGCAGAAUCUUAAAGUGUGACCAAAGAUGCCCGCAAGUGAAACUAUUAUUGCAAGACCAAGAAAUUAUCACCGACUUCUUCCUCCUACCAAUUGAUGACUAUGAGGCCGUGCUUGGCAUAGAAUGGCUGACUACGCUGGGUGAUGUCUCUUGGAACUUUUCCAAAUUAAUUAUGAAAUUCUACUGCAAAGGCAAACAGAUCAUCCUACGUGGGAAGCGCGGAAGCAACGUAACCACUGUUUUGACCCAACGAUUGGGGAAAGUUUUACACAAGGUAAAUGGUGGCUUUUUGAUGCAUCUCCAACAGCAACCAAAGGGGAAGAAAAUAUAAAUUGAAGAUCAAAAUCUCGUCCAAUUGCUUGCUGAAUUUAUCGACAUUUUUGCUGAGUCGCGCGAUCUUCCUCUUACUCGGCAACAUGACCAUCGGAUUCCAAUCCUUCCAGGCAAACCACCAGCGAACACUCGGCUGUACCGUUAUCCUCACCUCCAGAAGGAUGAAAUUGAAAAAUUGUAAAGAAGACGCUUGAAACAGGGGUGAUUGAGCCAAGUUACAGCCCCUAUUCCUCAUCGAUGCUACUUGUACGCAAGAAAGACGGAACUUGACGGAUAUGCAUCAACUACUAAGCUUUAAAUGACAUCACCAUCAAGGACAAGUACCUAAUACCAGUGGUGGAUGAACUUCUUGAUGAGUUAAAAUGAGCUCGAGUCUUCACGAAGUUGGACCUCCGAUCCGGUUACCACCAAAUUCGGGUAUGUGAAGACGAUAUUCCAAAAACUGCAUUCCGCACGUAUGACGACCAUUAUGAAUUCUUAGUAAUGCCUUUUGGAUUCACUAAUGCUCCUUUAACCUGCCAAAGUCUUAUGAACGAUAUUUUUCGGAGCUUUCUUUACAAAUUUGUGCUGAUAUUUUUCAAUGAUAUUCUCAUUUACAGCUCUUCUCUUGAGACUCACUUUCAGCAUUUACGGGUUGUUUUGACGAUCCUUCGGGAGAAUACACUUUUUGUUAAGCAACCAAAGUGCAACUUUCUCCAGCAAAAAGUAGAGUACCUUGGGCACAUAAUAUCAGGAGUGACGGUAGACCCAACAAAAAUUGAAGCAAUGCAAGGCUGGUCGAAACCUACAAACAUGAAAUUACUACGCGGGUUCCUUGGACUAACGGGCUACUACCGAAAAUUUGUCAAGGACUAUGGGAAGAUCAGUGCAACCCUCACUUCUCUCCUGAAAAAAAAAUGUCUUCCAAUGGUCGGACAAAGCCUCUGUUGCCUUCGACAAACUUAAGGCACCCAUGACGACGACGCCGAUGCUAACGCUACCAGAUUUCGACAAAAUUGAAGCAAUGCAAGGCUGGUCGAAACCUACAAACAUGAAAUUACUACGCGGGUUCCUUGGACUAACGGGCUACUACCGAAAAUUUGUCAAGGACUAUGGGAAGAUUAGUGCACCCCUCACUUCUCUCCUGAAAAAAAAUGUCUUCCAAUGGUCGGACAAAGCCUCUGUUGCCUUCGACAAACUUAAGGCACCCAUGACGACGACGCCGGUGCUAACGCUACCAGAUUUCAGCCAACCCUUCAUCAAUGAGGCCAACGCAUCUGGAGUCCGAAUUGGAGCCGUUCUUAUGCAAGAUGGUUGACCACUCGUAUACACCAGCAAGGCAUUGUCCCCCUCCCAUCAAAACAUGUCAAUAUAUGAUAAGGAGAUGCUCGCCAUUGUGCAUGCAGUAACGAGGUGAAGACCCUACCUGAUCGGUCGAUGAUUUCAAAUUAAAACCGAUCAUAGAAGCCUCAAGUACUUUUUGGAGCAGAAGAUAUCAUCCCCUAAGCAGCAAAAAUGGGUAACCAAACUUCUAGUAUUUGAUUAUGAAAUUAUUUACAAAAAGGGGAAAGAAAACAUUGUUGCAGAUGCACUCUCACGGCUACCUGAGCAAGCUAAAUUUUUAGCCAUCUCCCUUCUUACCAUGGGCUUCCUCGAGGACAUUAGGGAAGAAUGGAAGAAGGAUCAAGAGAUUAGCAACAUCAAAAAAAAAUUGGAGGAGGAUCCAAGUGCAAUAGCCCACUACACUUGGGAUUCGAGGGAUCUACGCUACAAAGGUCGUAUUGUGCUUAUACCCGACUCCCCUUGCAUCAAAAUCAUCCUGCAUGAAAUGCACUCCACACCUUCAGCAGGGCACUCCAGAUUUUUAAGAACCUACAAAAGAGUGAAGCAAAUUUUUUAUUGGAGAGGGAUGAAAAAAAAUAUUUCUGAAUAUAUGGCACAAUGUGGUAUAUGUCAACAGCACAAGGGUGAAACAGUGGCAAGUCCAGGGAAGCUACAACCACUACCCAUACCGGACUCGGUGUGGACUGACAUCUCUAUGGACUUCAUCAAAGGGCUACCACCUUCUAAAGGCAAAAGCAUAAUUCUCGUAGUAGUUGAUUAACUUAUGAAAUAUGCUCAUUUUUUGUGCUGUGCGAAAUCCCUACACUACUGCUAGCAUUGCCUAGAUUUUCAUAGAAAAUAUUGUUAAAUUGCAUGGGAUGCCAAGGUCCAUUGUAAGUGAUUGUGACAGGAUCCUCACUAGUAAAUUUUGGACCGAAUUAUUUCAGUUACAGGGCACCAAACUCAAGAUGAGCACAACAUAUCAUCCACAAACUGACAGCCAAACUGAGGUGGUAAACAGGUGUUUAGAGACGUACCUUCGGUGUUUCGCUAGUGACCGGCCAAAGGAGUGGGCGAAAUGGCUUCCCUGGGCUGAAUGGUGGUAUAAUACUACAUAUCAUUCAUCUACAAAACGUGCCCUUUAUGAAGCACUGUAUGGUUGGCCGACCCCUGUGAUUCCAAAGUAUAUAAUUGGCUCGGCCAAGGUAGAUCAGGUCGACUAAGAAUUGAUUGACAGGGACAAACUCCUACAACUGCUAAAGGAUAAUCUCUUUACCGCUCAAGCUAGAAUGAAGCAGCAAGCUGACACACGACGAAGCGAAAGAGAAUUUUCAGUAGGAGAUUGGGUUUAUCUUCGCCUAUAGCUAUACAAGCAACUAUCCAUCAACACACGAGCCUCCAUGAAACUAUCCCCACGUUUUUAUGGGCCCUAUCAGAUCAUAGAGCGUAUUGGAGUUGUGGCGUACAGACUUAAAUUGUUUGAGGAUGCCAAAAUUCACACCGUCUUCCACGUGUCAUGCCUGAAGCCCAAGUUGGGGGAACACGAGUCACCCUAGAUCCAACUGCCUAACACCACUGAUGAUGGAGAUAUUCAAGCCCAGCCACAAGUCAUCCUCGACCGUAGAAUUGUGAUGCAUCAUCGACGUCCCUCUACUGAAGUACUAGUGCAUUAGAAUAAUUUACCACUUGAAGACGCCACAUAGGAAUCACAUGUGGAGUUGAAGACCCGGUUCCCUGAGUUCAUGGAACCUCAGCCUUAAGGACAAGGCUGAUUUGGAGAGGGCAAGCUUGAUAGGACCCUAGCAGGGUUGGGUCAUACUCAACCAAGAAGCAUCUAAUAAAACCCUAUGAGAUUAUAAUAAACCCCACCUAGCCACCUCUAUCCUAUAAAGAAGAGUGGCUAGGGUUUAUAUUUGGGUCUUUGGGCUUCCUAACCGCCGCCCCCUUUUACUGGGCUGGUUGGUUAGGGUUGACGGCAAAAAGGGUAACUCACUUAGGAAGCAGCCCCUAGGGCUAGGGUUUGGAGCCCUAUAUAAGCAUGUAGCUUCCAUCUCUUUGAAAAUAAGAUCUAUCUACAAUUAUAGCCAUUUGGCCAACUUCUACGAGGGUGGAACCCCUAUAGCGUUCCAAGGAGUGAUCUCCCUCAAAGAUCAAUCUACAUAGAAUUCCUCUGGGGUUCUAUCAUCAUGACAUUUAUAAGUAUCCAAAGGUGGAAAUGUAGUAUUUGGACUGUAAAACUUAUUGUG